rnacentral:lncRNA from 10 species
CUUUGAGAACUAGAUUAAGUAAUUCCUGCAAGGCAAACCAAGUGAUGAUGAGCUCUCUCAGCUUCUGUUUGUCUGAUAAACUUUCUAUUCUCUCUCACUUCUGAAGGAAAGCUUUGCCAGGUGAAUAACAACAUCAAGAAGAAAAUGGAAGCUAUCAGAAAAGCCUCUACCAUCCCCACCACAUCUACCUGUCUACCUGUGUGUGUUCCUAAACUCCAGCUUCUCUCAUGAAAGAACUCUCCAUGCAUCUGGCUUAAGGUCAUCCCAUCCCUGAUCUCCACUUAAGGUUCAUGGCUGGAGGGAGCUUGCCUUGAGACUCAAAUGAGAUUUUGAACUUUAAACGAUCGAGUUGUUGCUGAAACAGCCAAAUCAACAACUCGAAUUAGAUCUUGAUCCUGCAUCUGAGCUCCUGGUUCCAUGCUUCCUUCCUUCCAAGCCUGAAAAGAUGAUCCCUGACUUUCACAAUGCAGGGCAUUUUCUAGAGUCUUACUUGAUUCAGCAGAUUUGCCUGAGAGUGAACAAAUGAAGCAUGAAAAUUUAUAUGGAACUCUCUAACACAAGCACAUGUUAUUAUAUCAUUAAUAAGAGGAAUUAAAUCAUUGGCUCUGCUGUUUCCAGGCUUCAAAGUCAAUUUGCUUUUAUUGUAGCUAACUGGCAAAAGAGAGAAGUCAAAUGAUCAGUUUACAACAGGAGAUGCCAUGUCAUUUGCUACACAAUCAGUCCUCUGUGUUCUGUCAAUGAGGAUGCACCAAAAGAGGUCACUUUCAAAUUUAUUGUUGUAAUAAAAUUUAUUGACCUGUGAUCAGUGGAAAUGAGAUUAUACCA